UUACUGGAUGGGUGAGUGGGGAAGAUAACUAAGCUCUGUUUGUUAUUUUCCCAACUCCACCCAUCCCAUAG
rnacentral:pre_miRNA from 1 species